GAUCUUUACUUGCUUCUCGGGUGAGGGUAAAGUGGGGAGGUAAGCAGUCAUUCACCUGACAAGAAACCGACCCUGCCAACAUGGGAGUUUAUGUCCGAAUGUUCUCUGUGCCUUGUGGCACAGCAACGCCAGGGGGAAAAGUAAUGAAGCUUAGAGUGCGGUAUCUGCUCUAAAAAGACUCCGGUAGGAAACAGAACGACAAACUUUUUUUCUACUCUGAGAAACUGGAAGACUCAAAGUGUUUUUCCUACUCUGCACACAGCACUUGUGACCCCAGGCGUACGGAGGUAUCCCGCCACACCUCAGCAUGCCCCAGCGCACAUCGGAGGAGUGUCCCGUAACUCCUUCCACUGGGCUCUGGCAGUAUCUGGAGACAGUGUCAGAUCCACAGGUCUGGGCUGGGUCCUACAGGUUGCCGCCA
rnacentral:lncRNA from 1 species